GGGGACGUAACAAAGCGACCCAGGAAUACUUGGGCGUGCCUCCACCCACGCCGGCGUCGGCGGGCGUAUUUCGCCUCACAGUAGGUCGCCGCGACCCGUUGCUUUUGGGGACGUCGAAGGCCCGGACGGAUUGGUACCCUACCGGCUGGGGAUGCGGCUUCGGCUUCUCCUCUUGUCCGGUGGGCGAAACCGCCGGUGUCCUGGCUGCCCUGCGACGGUCGUAGAGACGAGCCCUCCCCCAUUCGUGGGGGGCGGCUCUCGCGGCGUGCAAAAGGUCGGUGAUCCACCCGACCCGUCUUGAAACACGGACCAAGGAGUCUAACAUGUGUGCGAGUCAGUGGGCGCACUAAACCCAGAGGCGUAAUGAAAGUGACACGGGUUCGGCUGUCGCCUCGUGUGGCAGCCGGACUCAGGGCCGAUCCCUCACCGGUUGCCCUCGCCUCUCUCCCGCGUCUCGGUAAGCCGGGUGAGCUAUUUUCCCCGGCCAAUGCUGCGGGGCUCGGGGGGAGGCGGGGUUGCGAUGGUGUCCGUAAAAAAGAGCCUGCUGUUGCAGGGGGGCGCAGGCCCGGGACUUGCCAGGACGCCGCGAGACUGUCACUUUGCUGUGAGGCUCUAGGGCCGAUCAGCGGGUCAUGCGUGCAGUCGGCAAGUACCAUGAGCAGACAUGUUGGGACCCGAAAGAUGGUGAACUAUGCCUGGCCAGGAUGAAGCCAGAGGAAACUCUGGUGGAGGUCCGUAGCGAUUCUGACGUGCAAAUCGAUCGUCGGAGCUGGGUAUAGGGGCGA
rnacentral:rRNA from 5 species